rnacentral:rRNA from 1 species
AUUUUUUCCAUCUCAACCCGCGUGUCUGUGUGGAUGACACUGUCGCCCUCCUCCUCCCAGCCGAACACGCAACCCCGAACAGUCGAGCGAGAGAGAGAUAGCCAUGGCGAUUUGGAGCUCCGCCUCACCGCUCGAUCCAGUGUUUUGAUGGUGACUCGUCCGCGCUCUCCCUCGUGCUGCCCCGCUUCCUCCGCCUCCCUUCUGUUCCUGCCGGCGGGAUCUGCAGCAUCUCUUGGCCCCGCACCGAUCCGUCCCCAUUUCCGUCGUUGGCGAUUUUGUUCGUCGGAUUCAGCCCCCCCCCCUCCCUUUUUGUUGUUCUUGUGAUCUGUUAGGUAGGGAGUUGGUUUUGUCUGUCUGAUUUGAUGAUUGUAUCCAUCCCCGCAGCUUUUUUCCGUGUAGAUUUGUUUAGGUUGCACCGUUUCUGGGAUGCGUUUGAUUGUUCUGCUAAGCGCGGUAGCUGCCGUAGCUAGGAUGUGUGUCAGUUCGAUGUGCUGAUCUAUAAUUGAUUGGAUGUUGGAGUCCGAGUUGUUCAUGUGAGGCUGGCUUGCUUAGUUGUAGCACUCUGAUGUAUUCAGUCAAUUCGAACGGAUGUAUUCUGUUCCCUGGCCUUUAAUCCCUAGACCAUUUCUCUUCACUGGUAUCGUUUAGUGGGUAUGUGGUUUACUCUGUAAUUUCUAUUUUGGAUUUACAGUGCAAUCCCUAUUGUUUUUUAGAGUGAUUUUCAGUGUAAUUCAUACUGGAUUUUCAUUGAUUUUCACUGUAAUCCGUACUGGAUUUCCACUGUAAUUUUCUUGUGGAUAGGUAGUAUAUUUGUAGUGUAAAUCCAAAGCAAUUUGUAGUGUAAUCCCCGGUUAUUUUACAGUGUAAUUUCAAUGUAUUUGCACUGUAUUUGCUAGUGGAAUAAUAGUGUAUAUGUCCUAAUUGCAGUGUAUUUUUGUCAGUGGGGUUGCACUGUAUUUGUUAGUGGAAUUACAGUGUAUUU